AACCGCUCAACACAGAAUAGCCGCAUGUGCGCACUCCCUCAAAUCGUUUGGAGAAAAUAUCCUUUCUACUUUAUACAGCUUUGUUCAAUUUUAUUCUUCAUACUAUAAAAUAAUGCCACAGAAUUAUAAACAAAUCUUGUAUGCUAAAUUAACUAGAGUAGCCCACAGCCAUAUGACAUUGCCAGAUCAGGACCUAACAUAUGGACAAGUCAGAGUAUGCUAUUCAGUUCUUCUGAAAUAGACUACAUUUUCUUCAUAUGACGUUUCUUUAGACCUGUCUAAAAUAAAUAAUGGAUUUAUUGUGAAGGUGUAGGCUAUAUUACAUGGAUUCAUUAGACUUAUAGAAAUGUAGAUGUUCCAAAGGUGCGCAUCAGUGGCUUGUAGGCUGUGUGUGGAAGCCAGGGGAUGCUAAAUGUGUUUAUGUUAAUUACAGUGAGACCGACAGUAAGUUGCUUGACAAUCACCGGCUGACAAAAUUUCAUGACCGCCACAGCCCUAGUCAUGAAGGCGUUGACACCAUGCGUCAAAUAAAGUGUUACCUAUAUUUCUUGUCCUAAGGUGGAAUGUAUACAACAGUCCCGAUAACAGCUGAAAACUCCCUCGGGAGGUAGAAGGGUCAGCAUUUGACCAUCGGGUAUUCCAAGAUGGGUGUACAAUCAGUCAAGACUUCCACUGCGCUUGAGUCAGCACAAUUGGUGGUAUUCACAUUUCAUGACAAGCCCAGGCUGCAGCAGUGGGUUGCAAAUGUCAGGCGGAUUAAUUGGAAACCAACCCAAACACAAUCUCAUCUGUGCACAUCACUUUGAAGAUUAGUGUUUUUGGCAUGAUAAGGGAAAAGUCUUCCUCACCCUGACACCUGUGCCUACCAUUUUAUCCUUCCAAGAUUGUCUUCAAAAGCGGUCACAGUAGAUACAGACAAAGGAAUACAGUAGGUACAGAGGUUAGUGGCAACGUUGAUCAUGUGAAAGCGUCUGCUGCACAUGAUCACACCUACUGUGUAAGUAAUGUCACUUCUCCUCUCCUCUGUCACUGCUCUACAGCAUGUGGACAUUGCAGCCCUCCUGAUCAAGUUCAACACGUGUGAAUGCUACAGACAAGCGGGCCUUCAUUCCACUCCAUGAGGCAGCUUGGAAGGGUUGUACUCAGUUGUGUGCUCUACUGAUGGCCCACGAAGCUGACCCUACAACGAAGAAGAAGUAGGGACAGACCGCACUUGACCUGGCCACGGCUGAUGAUAUGUGUGCCCUGUUGAUGGACACUAUGUCCCCAGACGCAGAGAAGAGGGAUCACCAGCUCAGCUCAUCAAACUGUCCAAUCUCUGGAGGGGAUUUGUCCCAUUUGUUACCCAGCAGAACAGAUUCAUGUUUGAAUGCAUGAAUCCUUAAACUAUUGUAUUUUAACAUUUUGUGUGUAUUUUCUUUAAGCUGGCAGGUUAGUGGGGACUGUUUUGAGGUUCAAAACAGUUGCAUUGUGUUUUCUUAUCACCUCAUAAUUAGUUAUUAGAUAUUGCAUAUGAAAAGAUUAGCUGUGGAAUCUUCCACUCUAUUACAAUAUUAUUGUUUUUAUAACUCUCCAACAAUAAAUCAAAGCUGCAAUGUUAAACGUCAAACUCCAUUCUCUUAUUAGCUGAGGUGAACUGAUAGACAGUGGACCAGCAGCAGUCAGUAUGUAACCUGACCACUGGAGGUCUUGACGUUAUUUGUGCAGAACAAAAAGAAAACAAGUAAGAGGCCAGUAUAAGCAGAAAACUAUUUACAGAUAACAUAUACAAAAGAAUACAUAUUAGUAAGAGCAGAUGUGCCUAUAGUUUACAUAAGUAUUGCAUAAGCUUCCACAUUUGUAAGGGCUUCUUUAUCUUGUCAUCCUUACUCUGUAGCAACAAUUGCUGUUUUUGAUUAGCAGAACUGAAUUAAAGUACCUCAUGCUGUACUC